rnacentral:lncRNA from 1 species
GUGAAUAUCCCAAGAACACGCACUGAGUGGUUCGCGGUUGUAACUUAUGCACAUUAUAAUGUCUUAGAUACGGAUAUACCGCAGUACCAAAUAUUCUCAAAGAAGCAAGAUCAGGAUGAUGACCAAAUAAACGAAAAUAAGGAGAUUGAUGAUGUAAAACAGAGCUGGGCAUUCGAUUUAUAAGAUACACAGCAUGGGCAGCAGAAUGAAACCAAAACUGACCUGGCAAGGCUGCUGUAGUUAACAGGGUAAUGGCCGUUUCAACAAUAUGCCUAUUCUUCCGCUCUGCCAAUCCAUUUUGCUGCGGAGUAUACGGACAAGACAAACGACGCACAAUACCCUUAGAAGCCAAAAAAUCUGUAAAAACCUUGCUAAGAAACUCACCACCACCAUCACUCUGAAAACACUUAAUAGCAGCACUGAAUUGAUUUUGUAUCAAAGCAUGAAACUGUAAGAAUUUGGAGAAAACUUCGGAUUUAUUGAAAAGGGGAUAAACCCACAAGUAUCCAGUACAUUCGUCAAGGAAGGAAACAAAAUAUCUGUAACCUUCAACAGAUUUGUAAUGGGAAGGACCCCAUACAUCACUAUGAACAGUAUGAAAAGGAAUUUCAGACCUAUUAUGUCUAACAGGAAAUGGGAGUCGAUGCAUCUUCCCUUGAAGACAAGCUGAACACAAGGGAUUCAAAUUGGAAGAAUCAUUUGCACAUUGCAAACCAGAGGCUUUAAGCAUUGAGUGCACCACUUCAUUCGUUGGAUGGCCAAGUCUGUGAUGCCAAAUGGACGACUGAACAUGUUGACCAAGCAAAGCCACUUUCUUGGAUAGGCAAUGAGAGGAUACAGCAGAGGAAAUAGGAUACAACCCGUUGUUACUUCGGCCUUGUAGAAGGAUUGUCUUGGUGACCCGAUCCUGUAUCACAAAACCAGAAGCAUCAAAGCUGAUAACACAGUUAUUAUCGUUACACAGCUGAUG